AAAUCCAUGCUUAUUGGAUAUGGUAUUUGUAAAAUUCCUAUCAAAACUCUCCUUAUUGGAAAAUAUGGAUUUCAUCAAUAAUUUAUAUCUAAGAUUAUUGUGAGUUAUUGGAAAAAUAAAUUUACACUUAAAUUCAAUAGAAAAGAAUACCACAGAAAAACAUAAAAAACAAUGAUCCCAUUUCGUAUCUCCUAUACCUCCCUAACGACACGUCUUUACCAACGCUACUUCCCUCUUACCACCUCCUCA
rnacentral:lncRNA from 1 species